GUACACCUGUAUUCGGAGAUAGUCCGGCCAGCGCGUCACCUCAGUGAAGUUAGCCGGGCAAUUUUAACUUUUUAUCAUACCAAAUCGAUUGGUGGUCGUUUGGUGGUCAUUGGUGGCCUAAUAAAAACAUUUGGUGGUGCUCAAUCGAUGCGUAAUCGUUUGGUGGUAACGAAUAUCAUAAUUAAAAUGUUUGGUGGUCGUUAGUUUUCGUAAAAAAUUAAAAAAUGAUUGCAGUAUCCAGCAUUGACUGGAUAUGGGUGUAGGAACACACAUUUACGGUCGAUAAAACAGAUAUUUCUGAACAGAUUCUCCCUUCGAAAAAAUUAAUCAAUGCAAGAACGCUAGCCGAUGAUUGCUAGUCUACUUAAAACAUUUGGUGGUCAUCAAUAAAUUAAUGCACGAGGUAUGAAGAGUCAUACCUCCGCUGCACGGCGAGCACCAAAGGCUGUGAUUGGCUGAGAAAUGGAUACAGGGGUAUCGUGAACUUCUAUACAUUCAUUAUAUAUAUUUUUGAUCUGUUUUCAGAAGAAAACAAGAAGCGUAAUUGGCGGUGCAACCGCGGAGAAAGGAAGGCUCAGGCAGCGAACACAAAACAAUACCAUGAUCCAAAGGAAUCAGGUAAAACAAAAACCCCUUACGGACGGGGUUCAUCAAAAAGGACAAAUACCACCCCUGACGGCCCCGGGCGGGCAUUAAGGGUAGUACUCGAUGCGCUACUGGAUCGUUUUAAAUAAAAUUAUAAGAAAAGAUAAUAAUAAAUAGAAAUUUUCAAGUUAUAAAAUUUUUUCAAAAUGAUUAUUUCAAAUUUUCAUACGUAGAAUGUCAUCACAUGUCAAAAUAUUGACGGAGCAAUUGUUUUUUCACGUAAGCCGUUACGGUUCACGGAACGGGAGAGUCGGGACUAGUGUUGUGCAAGAUUAAAAAAUAGAUAAUCUAAUGCAGAUCAAGAUUUUGAUCCACAAAAUGUAUCUAGAUCAGAUACAGAUGAUAUUAUCAUUUUUUAAUCUAGAUUUAAGAUUACGCAAUUGGUCAUCUAGAUCAUAGAUCAAACCAAGCAUUACAAAAUUAAGAUAUAGGAAGCUUUCACAGCUUUAGGUCUGUUCUUUAUAGCGUCUUUUGUGCUCCGGAGAAAGCAUCAACUGUGCACGAGCCUUAAUCGAGACACAACAGUCUGGUUUCCGAUUACUCACUUGUGUAGAGUUAUGUCAACGCAAGCGAUAUCAUUAGUUGUUUCCCAAAUACUCCGUUGGAGCCAGCGAAUAGCGAAACUUCGUGUCAAUAAAAGUCGGCACAAAUUGAAUAAUUGGCAUGCACCUAAUGCUGUGGGGAGUUUUCUAGUUAUUAAGGUUAUUUUAUAAUGGGACGUUGUCGGCAGACGUUUGUCGAAAGUCAUUUCUAUUAGGGACGUUCUACAAUGGGACGUUGUCGGUAGACGUUUGUCGCAAGUCGCUUCUACAAGUCAACCAUAGCAACGAAAAAAGUGGAGAAAUCAUUUUGAUUGGUAUAUAGAAAUGACUUACGACAAAUGUAUACCGACAACGUCCUAUUGUAGAACGACCCUAAUGGCCAGUUUCUUCAGUUUCGGAUAAAUCUCUAGCUAACCAAUCAUUUUAAUGUUUUAGGAGUUUAUCCGCAGGAUAAAUAUUAUCCCAAGUUGAAGAAAUUAGCCAUAAGCCAAUUAGAAUUAAAUCCUCUGCUUUUUUUUCGAUGUUACGAUUGGUUUGUAGAAUCGAACCAUGAAAAAAAAAUACCACCAAAUACAUCCCAAUGUAAAAAGGAUUCUGCCACUAUCGCCACAAAGAAUCAAUAUAGCAGUUUGCAAAAUGUAGAAAUAAAGUUUAAUUGAAUUGUAGAUUUUGUAUUUCAUCAGAAGAAUGAAUAUUAGGUUCUAUGCAAUGUAUAUUUAAAGAAGAAUCACUAUUACAAUCACUGGUUACAAUUUUCUGCUUUCGCGUUACCAAAACAGUACUAACAUCAAUUAUAAGACGUAAAUAAAGAAACUAUCUUCUA